UACUUUCAAAUAAAUCAAUCCAAUGUUUCCACGCUGUUGAUUAGAGCUAGUGACAGCAGUGCCUGAGUUUCCAACAACUGGGCUCUGCUGCUCUCCAUUAGGAAAUGAAACGCCAAACUGCAAACAAUGUUACAUUUUAACCUCCUUCACAUGCUACAAAUCAAGUCACAGGUCCUGUUCAUGAAAAGCAAGAUUUACAUCAUAGGAGUGUCAAAACAUAUUUAUUUGCAUGGGACUAUAGGUAAUCAAUAGCAAUACACAUGGGGAUGGCCACAAUUAGAUUUUUAAUUAGGUGCAACCCAUUUGGUUACAUGCUCUGGUGAACAGCAGCCGUUCGAGUCAAGGGACAGGACCUGGGCUGUGGGUUUGAACCAGAUGGAAUGAAUCAGAAACACAAGCUUCUCCAGAACAGGGGAUGUUGCACAGCUCCAUUUAAAUUAGGUCAGCCCAAACAAACCAAUUACACCCAUCAGAUGCCAGUCUAAUCAGCACCAUUAGGAUAAAAUAAAAGUGUUUCUAGGAACCCAAUCAAACACAUGCUGUACAGUGUUGUUAUAGCCCCAGGGGUUUGGACCAUAUUAGUUUGUUGGUGAUGUGGACACCAGGGAACUUGAAACUCUCGACCUGCUCCACUACAGCCCUGUUGAUGUGAAUGGGGGCGUAUUCGGCCCUCCUUUUCCUGUAGUCCACGAUCAUCUCCUUCGUCUUGCUCACGUUGAGGGAGAGGUUGUUGUCCUGGAGCCACUCUGCCAGGUCUCUGACCUCCUCCCUAUAGGCUGUCUCAUCGUUGUCGGUGAUCAGGCCUACCACCGUUGUGUCAUCAGCAAAUUGAAUUAUGGUGUUGGGGUCGUGCUUGGCGUCGCAGUCGUGGGUGAACAGGGAUUACAGGACUAAGCACCCACCCCUGAGGGGCCACUGUGUUGAGGAUCAGCGUGGCAGAUGUGGUGCUGCCCACCCUUACCACCUGGGGGCGACCGUCAGGAAGUCCAGGAUCCAGUUGCAGAGGGAGGUAUUUAGUCCUAGGGUCCUUCGCUUCAUGAUGAGCUUCGUGGGGACUAUGGUGUUGAACACUGAAUGCUGGGCUGUAGUCAAUGAACAGCAUUCUCACAUAGGAUUUCCUUUUUUCCAGGUGGGAAAGGGCAGUGUGGAGUGCGAUUGAGAUUGUGUCAUCUGGGAUGACGGUGUUGAUGUGAGCCAUUACCAGCCUUUCAAAGCACUUCAUGGCUACCAACGUGAGUGCUACGGGGCGGUAGUCAUUUAGGCAGGUUACCUUCGCUUUCUUGGCACAGGGACUAUGUUGGUCUGCUUGAAACAUGUCGGUAUUACAGACUCGGUCAGGGAGAGGUGAAAAUGUCAGUGAAGACACUUGCCAGUUGGUCCGUGCAUGCUCUGAGUACACGUCCUGGUAAUCCGUCUAGCCCCGCGGCCUCGUGAAUGUUGACCUGUUUAAAGUUCUUGCUCACAAUGGCUACGGAGAGCGUGAUCACACAGUUGUCCGGAACAGCUGGUGCUCUCAUGCAUGCUUCAGUGUUGCUUUCCUCGAAGUGAGCAUAAAAGGCAUUUAGCCCAUCUGGUAGGCUUGCGUCACAGGCAGCUCGUGGCUGGGUUUCCCUUUGUAGUCCAUAAUAGCCUUUAGCUCGAUGCGGAUGCUGCCUGUAAUCCAUGGCUUCUGGUUGGGAUAUGUACGUACGGUCACUGUGGGGAGGAUGUCAUCGAUGCACUUAUUGAUGAAGCCGGUGACUGAGGUGGUGUACUCAAAUCCAUUGGAUGAAUUCUGGAACAUAUUCCAGUCUGCUAGUUAAACAGUCCUGCAGCAUAGCACUGCGUCAUCUGACCACUUCCGUAUUGAGCGAGUCACUGGUACUUCCUGCUUUAAUUUUUGCUUGUAAGCAGGAAUCAGGAGGAUAGAAUUAUGGUCAGAUUUUCCAAAUGGAUGGCAAGGGAGAGCUUUGCAUGCGUCUUUGUGUGUGGAGUAAAGGUGGUCUAGUUUUUUUCCCCCUCUGGUUGCACAUGUGACAUGCUGGUAGAAAUGAGGCCACUAGGAGCGCCGCUUCUGGAUGAGCAUUUUCUGGUUUGCUUAUGGCCUUAUACAGCUUGUUGAGUGCGGUCUUAGUGCCAGCGUUGGUUUGUGGUGAUAAAUAUACGGAAAACCCAGCCAACUGCAUAUUAUCCAUGUUGUCAUUCAGUCACGACUCGGUGAAACAUCAGCGAUUACAGUUUUUAAUGUCCCAUUGGUAGGAUAGUCUCGAAUGGAGCUCAUCCAGUUUAUUCUCCAGUGAUUGCACAUUGGCCAAUAGAACUGACGGUAGAGGCAGGUUACCCACUCGCUGACUAAUUCUCACAAGGCACCCUGAUCUGCGCUCCCUGUAUCUCCUACUUUUCUACAUGCGAAUGACGGGGAUUUGUAUGGAACGCCGUUUGGGUCUUAAAGCACGUGGUCAAAACGCGAUAUUUUUAAUGCUGCGUGUGUAAAGUAAGCAGGUGCAGGCGCUAAAUUAACACGUGCAGGCACUAAAUUAACGUGUGCAGGUGCUAAAUUAAUGUGCGCACGCGUUAAAUGAACACCUAUACGCAUCAAAUAAGUGCGUGCAAAUGUGCUAAAUAAACGGCUGCAAGCCGUCCUGCACACGUCAAAUUAACGCCAACAGCUGCUAAAUAUACACCUACACACGCUAACUUAACGGGUUCUUUAAUUAAUAUGCUAAUUUUACCAGCCAAUUUCCCUAGCUCCUCCUUUCAUUAAAUUAGUGUACAGUCAGUUUGAUGCAACAACACCACAAUUGAAGAUGGCGAGAAGGAACUUACAUAUCCGCUGCAAACUUGAUGCCCUUCAGUCCACGUUAAGAAGCCAGUUCCACUUACCGGGCUCCUCAGACUUGGAGAGGAGCUAGAGGUGCGCCUUGUUAUGCCAUCACUCAAGAGCAACUGAGGUUUCUGAUGUCCUGUGCUUUCAGUGUGUCUCAGAUCGACAGUCAAAUGUCGUCUAAGACUUGGCUCUGGAUGAAAAGAUUAAGGACUUGGUGGUUGGGAACGACAAACGUGGACCGGAGGCUGUUCGAUCACAAUUAAGGGCUCUGGGUUCAGAGACGCAGAGUGAGGGACAGCAUGCUUCGUGUUAAAAGAGCCAUGUCGCAGAGGCUGCAUAGAAGGUCAUGUCGUGUUGCUGGACCAAACUCGUUAUGGCACCUUGAUGGAAACCACAAACUGAUAAGGUGGAGGAUAGUCAUACAUGGUGGCAUUGAUGGGUUCAGCCGUCUCAUUGUUUCUCCGUGCUUCCAGCAACAAUCGCAGCAGUACUGUAAUGGAUUGCUUCAUAAAUGCUGUCUCCAGAUAUGGCGUUCCCUCCAGAGUUAGGACGGACCAUUGAGGAGAAAACAACACUGUCUGCUUGAUGAAUACUACUUCUACAAACGAGGCUACACUUGUGGCAGCACCUAUUCCUGUGGCCCCCCCAUCUUCUGCACCACUUCUUGUGGCCCCCCUCCACCAUUCCCUGAGGCUUAUCGUCCACCUUCACCACACUCUUCUGUUGAUGUUGGUGAUGACAAUGAUGUUGACCUCCAAACACUGCUGAAGUUAAUGAGAUGCCAACCGAAUUAACGUGAUGAGGGACAACGUUUAUGAUUGUGCAAUGAGAGGCUUUAAGAGAGCCCGCUUUAAUCCGGAGGCAAAAAUAGACAUGGUUUUUAGGGAUGGUGACGGAAAAGGGGCAGCUGAUGAGGGUGGUCCCUCAAGAGAAUUUCUCUGGCUGCUAAUGAGUGCCAUCCAUUCCUUUGCAAUAUUUGAGGGACCUGAUUGGCAAAAAUGCCUUUCUUGCAACUCUCAAGCACUCUAUGAUGGCGUAUACAAGCAGGUGGGCCACAUGAUUGCUGUCUGUCUAGUACAUGGGGGUGUAAAGACACAUUUUUUCAGAGGCUAUACAGGCAAGUAUAUGGCCUACAACCUCCUGUGCCAGAAAUGAAAGAAAUGGUGGAAUAUAACUUAAGAGAGAAGUUGGAGAAGAUUCAAAGAGGUCUGGAGUGUCUAGGUCUCCUGCCUUACAUGAAUAGACACUGAAGCCUCUUCAGAGAGUGUUUCAUCUACGCUGAGAAACCUCUUUUGGCCAGACAUAGCUUCUCUCUUCAAAGCAGAGUGCUCUCCACAUGGUACCAAUCAAAGAGCAAUAGAGAGAAGAGUCAUAUGUUUCUGGGGGGACUGGCUUCUGGAGGUGGAAGGUUAGAUGCAAAACCAUGAUCAUUGAAGUAACACGGCCCACAUCAGUAAAACAUCACCUAAUCACUCUCACAACUGUGGGACAGCAUUUUAUAGCCUUAUUCUUCCAUGGUCCCCCUAAGAAUGUAAUGGAUAAAUGAAAUCCCAAACUACCUUCACUUAGAGUAUUGUGCUCUCCAACAAGUGUUACUUAUGGACUUUAAUGACCCCCCCUUCCCUUUUUUUCAGGGGGAACACAUACCCUUCUCCAUGGAGAAGGUUUUCAUUUUCACUUCGGGGGUUUCAGCAUUCCUAGGCUGGGAUUGCCAGUGGAGCCACAGCUACAGUUCUAUCUGCUACCACACAGCAAGUGGUACCGGAGCGCCAAGUCUAUGUCCAAGAGGCUUCUAAACAGAUUCUACCCCCAAGCCAUAAGACUACUGAACAUCUAAUCAAAUGGCUACCCAGACUAUUUGCUGCUACUAUCUAUGCAUAGUCACUUUAAUAUCUCUACCUACAUAUAUAUAUAUUAACUUGACUAACCGGUGCCCCCGAACAUUCCCUGUACCGGUAUCCCCUGUACAGUAUAUAGCCUCGCUAUUGUUAUUUUACUGAUGCUCUUUAAUUAUUUACUCUUUUUGUCGUUUUUUUUAAACUGCAUUUUUGGUUAAGGGUUUUUAAAUAAGCAUUUCACUGUUGUAUUUGGCGCAUGUGACAAAUUCAAUUUGAUUUAAAGAAUUCAUUUAAGGGGAAUUAUCCAAAACGUUUAUUGCAUGACUACCUAGUAAGUUCGGAAUACUGCAGCCAAUGUUAAUUGGUGAUGUGUCCCAAAAGAAUUGAUAUUAUUAAAGUUUCCGACCGGAUUGUCCAUCAGCAAAAAAAGUUGUGCAGUGAAAGUUUUCAAAAACAUUACAACCAACCAGAAUCAAUUGGACACAGUAAUAAAUAAUGCAGAUUUAAUAAAUGUAUGAUUUCUUAGUGGGUAAACUGAGCAUUAUGCAUAGUUAAGUCAUGUAUGUCAAGGGACUGUUACAAUAUGUGCAAUGUUACCAUAAAUAAAUCCUACCGUAAAUAUGUACAUUUCAUUUACAUGUGUAAUGGCAAUAAAAGACACUGUAGUUGGUACAUAGGUCGUGGUGGAGCAAGUUUGAGGGUAGUGGAGAAGCACAAGUGGGACUUUGAGUGAAGUAACUGAAGGCAGAAAAGGAUAUCAGGGUGCCCAGGAACUUGAAGCUGCUGAUCAUCUCCAUGUCAAUGUACAGUAGAUGGGAGAAUGGUCAAGUAUCACCAUGUACUUUGUUUUGUUUACGCUGAGACUGUUGUCCUAUCAUCAUUAUGUCAGGUCCCAGAGCUGCUUCAUGUACUCAUGUGUACCAUGGUAGUGUUGGGUCCCACAGCUCCUUCAUGUACUCAUGUGUACCAUGGUAGUGUCACGUCAAUUCUGGGGAUACACAUUCUUAUGAUAAUGUAAAAAAUCGAAAUUUGUUAUUACAGGAUUUACACCCAGAGCCCUGAGUCUGCAAACCAGUUUGUGGGUCAGGAUGGCGUUGAAAGCAGAGCUAUAAAAUAAAAUGCACUCUGACGUAUGUAAAAAUGUAUAAUUGACAUUUGUUGGGACAAUAGGCAAACUGGAGUUGUACAUUGUGCUACACUAUCUAUUGUUCCAGUUUUUUUAAAUUGAUAUCGACUGGGCUGCAGUGGAGAUGGUAAGAAGCAUUGAUAUCAUAGGGACCUAACUUCUAACGUCCUUUCCUGGUACACCCACAGACACUGCAGUCAAAUGCCAACCAGCGGCUCUCCGUCCUACAGUGGCUGAAGAUGUUUUGCCUGACGUCAAACAUUAACAAGAGUGUCAGAUUGAAGUGUCUGGAAAAAACGUAAACAUAACCAUAAGAGCAGAUGACUUUGUCAUCUUUACUGGCACAGUUUAAAAAUGUCUAAUUGUAGUCCCUUUCAAUUGAUUCAUUGACUCCAAGAACCAUAGAUUGUUUGUAGUUCAUAACAUUAACACAGCUGACAAACGUUGCUUGACUGUAAAUUGGGAUACAUGUUUGAAUAACAUUGGAUAUUUGAUUGGGCUUAAUGUUGUACACCUUGUCAUGUUGUGCAUGCAUGCCAACCAGGUGAGAAUCACCAGAAUUAAUUGAUACUUGAUGAAUCAGGUCUUCUCUGCUGCUUUAUCAGCAUCCCCCUUGCCCACUCCAAGCUCCUCUUCAUGGUUCCCUUCUGCAAGACACAAUUGUGGGAAAAUAAAGUGGAAGGAAUGGGAACCCUAUUCCUUUGAAGCAGUACUGUGUAUAUGCCUGAAGUUAUUUUACCCUGAUAAGCUUCGAAGGAAUAUAAAUAUUCAAAAUGUGAACGUACACAUUAAAGUCUACUCUGUUCGAAAGCUGACAUGUAACGUUAGACGUUAGCAAAGGUUUUACAAGGUUGUCACUAGCCAAAUUUGCUUUAUGUGAGCUUUUCUGUCUUCAUGCUAAUCGCGAGCUAGCGCGGCUAACGCUAGCAUUUAAAUGAAAGCCAGUCAGGCUGAAGAAGUUGCUGACCUUAAGUUGUUGUUUUGCUUAAAUACAAGGCUUUGGGCUAAAAACGGAACUCAAAAACAUGUCCUGCUUCAGUACUAGCCGAUAAGUCACAUUUAGGUAGCUUUGAAGGAAUAUAAAUAUUCAAAAAGUGAACGUGCACAUUAAAGUCUACUCUGUUCGAAAGCUGACAUGUAACGUUAGACGUUAGCAAAGGUUUACAAGGUUGUCACUAGCCAAAUUUGCAAAAUAAAGACAAUAGUCCAAAAAUCUAGAACUACCAGGAUUUUGAGCAUCUCCGUUGUCUCAUCUAUGUAUGCCUGGUCCUGCAUUCAAGCAACAAUCUUGCUAGUAUGUAAUUUACCUUGAUGGUAUCAAAAGUCCAAUGUGUUUUCGUGGCUGUUAUAGUUUACAUGUUUUUUCAGCAGGGCUUUUAAUAAAACACAACACGGUGCC
rnacentral:lncRNA from 1 species